rnacentral:lncRNA from 1 species
UGGAGGCCGGUGGUGGUGGCCGGCGGCUGUGGCGUGGCGGCGGCGGUGGUGGCCGGCAGUGGUCCUGGUGGUGGUGGCGGCUGCCACUUUUAUUUUUUUUUCGAAAAAUAUGUUUGCCGAGUGUUUUGUUGUCACUCGGCGAAAGCUUCGCCGAGUGCACGACAUAGAACACUCGGCAAAGCUAACUUUGCCGACUCAAAAUUUACCGUGUGUCGUUUGCCGAGUGUUACACUCGGCAAACGUUUCGCCGAGGGUUUUUGGGUCUUCGCCGAGUGCCCCAGGCACUCGGCGAACUGUCUGUUUCCCGUAGUG